GUUGAACGCUGGCGGCGUGCCUAAUACAUGCAAGUCGAGCGAACGGACGAGAAGCUUGCUUCUCUGAUGUUAGCGUCGGACGGGUGAGUAAAACGUCGAUAACCUACCUAUAAGACUGGGGUAACUUCGGGAAACCGUAGCUAAUACCGGAUAAUAGUUUGAACCGCAUGAUUCAAAAGUGACAGACGGUCUUGCUGUCACUUAUAGAUGGAUCCGCUCGGCAUUAGCUAGUUGGUAGGGUAACGGCUUACCAAGGCAACGAUGCAUAGCCGACCUGAGAGGGUGAUCAGCCACACUGGAACUGAGACACGGUCCAGACUCCUACGGGAGGCAGCAGUAGGGAAUCUUCCGCAAUGGGCGAAAGCCUGACGGAGCAACGCCGCGUGAGUGAUGAAGGUCUUCGGAUCGUAAAACUCUGUUAUUAGGGAAGAACAUAUGUGUAAGUAACUGUGCACAUCUUGACGGUACCUAAACAGAAAGCAACGGCUAACUACGUG
rnacentral:rRNA from 1 species